UGCUCACAGGUGCCAUGUCCCUUCU
rnacentral:piRNA from 1 species